rnacentral:rRNA from 1 species
GACGAACGCUGGCGGCGUGCCUAAUACAUGCAAGUAGAACGCAGUUUCGAACGGGUGAGUAUCGCGCAGGUAACUGCCUCAUAGCGGGGGAGAACUAUGGGAAACGAUAGCUAAUACACCAUACUGUGAGAUGGCACUGCGUUGUAUUAGCUAGUCGGGGGGGGAAAGGCCCACCAAGGCGACGUAACAUAGCCGACCUGAGAGGGUGAACGGCCAGACUGGUACUGAGACAAGGCCCAGACUCAUACGGGAGGCAGCAGUAGGGAAUCUGCGGCAAUGGACGGAAGUCUGACCGAGCAACGCCGAGUGAGUGAAGAAGGUUUUCGGGUCGUAAAGCUCUGUUGUUAGAGAAGCGGUACCUAACAAGAAAGGGACGGCUAACUACGUGCCAGCAGCCGCGGUAAUAC